rnacentral:rRNA from 1 species
UACAGAGGGGGCAAGCGUUGUUCGGAAUUACUGGGCGUAAAGGGCGCGUAGGCGGCCUGCUAAGUCGAACGUGAAAUCCCCGGGCUCAACCCGGGAACUGCGUCCGAUACUGGUUGGCUUGAAUCCGGGAGAGGGAUGCGGAAUUCCAGGUGUAGCGGUGAAAUGCGUAGAUAUCUGGAGGAAUACCGGUGGCGAAGGCGGCAUCCUGGACCGGCAUUGACGCUGAGGCGCGAAAGCCAGGGGAGCAAACAGG